rnacentral:rRNA from 1 species
AACCAACAGGGAUUGCCUCAGUAACGGCGAGUGAAGCGGCAACAGCUCAAAUUUGAAAGCUGGCCCCCCCCGGGGGUCCGCGUUGUAAUUUGUAGAGGAUGAUUCGGCGAGGGCUCCCGCCUAAGUCCCCUGGAACGGGGCGUCAUAGAGGGUGAGAAUCCCGUAUGCGGUGGGCUGCCUUAGCCAUGUGAAUCUCCUUCGACGAGUCGAGUUGUUUGGGAAUGCAGCUCUAAAUGGGAGGUAAAUUUCUUCUAAAGCUAAAUACCGGCCAGAGACCGAUAGCGCACAAGUAGAGUGAUCGAAAGAUGAAAAGCACUUUGGAAAGAGAGUUAAAAAGUACGUGAAAUUGUUGAAAGGGAAGCGCUUGCAGCCAGACUUGCCCGCAGUUGCUCAGCCGGUCUCCUGACCGGCGCACUCUUCUGCGGCCAGGCCAGCAUCAGUUCGGGCGGUCGGAUAAAGGCCCCGGGAACGUAGCUCCUCUCGGGGAGUGUUAUAGCCCGGGGUGGAAUGCGGCCAGCCUGGACUGAGGAUCUCGCUUCGGCUAGGAUGCUGGCGUAAUGGCUGUAAGCGGCCCGUCUUGAAACACGGACC